rnacentral:misc_RNA from 1 species
AAGACUAUAGACCUGCGGAGUACCUGCGGAGGGAUCAUUACCGAGUUUACAACUCCCAAACCCAUGUGAACAUACCUAUCGUUGCUUCGGCGGGAUCGCCCCGGGCGCCUUGUGUGCCCCGGAUCCAGGCACCCGCCGGGGGACCUUAACUCUUGUUUUAUUUAGAAUCUUCUGAGUAGUUUUUACAAAUAAAUAAAAACUUUCAACAACGGAUCUCU